rnacentral:rRNA from 1 species
UUCGAUUAGAGUUUGAUCAUGGCUCACAUUGAACGCUGGCGGCAUGCCUUACACAUGCAAGUCGAACGGCAGCAUGAUCUAGCUUGCUAGAUUGAUGGCGAGUGGCGAACGGGUGAGUAAUACAUCGGAACGUGCCCUGUAGUGGGGGAUAACUAGUCGAAAGAUUAGCUAAUACCGCAUACGACCUGAGGGUGAAAGUGGGGGACCGCAAGGCCUCAUGCUAUAGGAGCGGCCGAUGUCUGAUUAGCUAGUUGGUGGGGUAAAGGCCCACCAAGGCGACGAUCAGUAGCUGGUCUGAGAGGACGAUCAGCCACACUGGGACUGAGACACGGCCCAGACUCCUACGGGAGGCAGCAGUGGGGAAUUUUGGACAAUGGGGGCAACCCUGAUCCAGCAAUGCCGCGUGUGUGAAGAAGGCCUUCGGGUUGUAAAGCACUUUUGUCCGGAAAGAAAUCGCACUUACUAAUAUUAGGUGUGGAUGACGGUACCGGAAGAAUAAGGACCGGCUAACUACGUGCCAGCAGCCGCGGUAAUACGUAGGGUCCAAGCGUUAAUCGGAAUUACUGGGCGUAAAGCGUGCGCAGGCGGUUGUGCAAGACCGAUGUGAAAUCCCCGGGCUUAACCUGGGAAUUGCAUUGGUGACUGCACGGCUAGAGUGUGUCAGAGGGGGGUAGAAUUCCACGUGUAGCAGUGAAAUGCGUAGAGAUGUGGAGGAAUACCGAUGGCGAAGGCAGCCCCCUGGGAUAACACUGACGCUCAUGCACGAAAGCGUGGGGAGCAAACAGGAUUAGAUACCCUGGUAGUCCACGCCCUAAACGAUGUCAACUAGUUGUUGGGGAUUCAUUUCCUUAGUAACGUAGCUAACGCGUGAAGUUGACCGCCUGGGGAGUACGGUCGCAAGAUUAAAACUCAAAGGAAUUGACGGGGACCCGCACAAGCGGUGGAUGAUGUGGAUUAAUUCGAUGCAACGCGAAAAACCUUACCUACCCUUGACAUGCCACUAACGAAGCAGAGAUGCAUUAGGUGCUCGAAAGAGAAAGUGGACACAGGUGCUGCAUGGCUGUCGUCAGCUCGUGUCGUGAGAUGUUGGGUUAAGUCCCGCAACGAGCGCAACCCUUGUCUCUAGUUGCUACGAAAGGGCACUCUAGAGAGACUGCCGGUGACAAACCGGAGGAAGGUGGGGAUGACGUCAAGUCCUCAUGGCCCUUAUGGGUAGGGCUUCACACGUCAUACAAUGGUGCAUACAGAGGGUUGCCAAGCCGCGAGGUGGAGCUAAUCCCAGAAAAUGCAUCGUAGUCCGGAUCGUAGUCUGCAACUCGACUACGUGAAGCUGGAAUCGCUAGUAAUCGCGGAUCAGCAUGCCGCGGUGAAUACGCUCCCAGGGUCUGUAGACA